AUUGUUGCUGUUGGGCUGUGAAUAUCUGAGCCCGAUUUUAUUUUCAUCUUGGGUCGUCUGACCCGACCCAAGACUAUUGUAAUGUGUAUAUACACUUGUACAGAUAUUUGCAGGCAAUCAAUUCAUUUCCUUUGCAGACUCUCUCGAGGUUCUGGAGAGUUCUCUCAACUACACUCUUUCACUCUCUUCUUUCUCUCACUGUAUGUUUCAUGUUCUUCAGCUUAAUCUUCACGUUUUCAUGGUAUCAGAGUGGGAUGAUCUUCGGAUCCUUCUCGGUUGCGUGUUAUCGAUCCCGUCUGAAGCUUUUGCUGAAGUUUCUUUUAUGGUUACCGGUGAGAGAUACUGUUCGCAGAUGUUUCAACGAAUGUUGAGCGGAUAAUCAGAAUUUUCCUGUUAUUCGAGGUUCCGAUCUUGUAUCAGUGGGUGUUUUGGGUAUUUUUCCGGCAUCCCUGGCCUUAUUCCGACGAGUUCUUCAAAUUCUAGGGUUUUCCGAUUUUCGGACCUAGAACUUUGAUAUUCUUGAUAGACGUUUGGAUAACUUUCCGAUGUUGUGACCUUAUUCUGGUGAGUUUCAGAACCUACAGUUUCCGGUGUUAGACCUAGGGUUUUAUCUGUUGAUUGAAGGCCGAUCUUCUCCGGUCGCGAAGAAGGAGGGUAACNNNNNNNNNNNNNNNNNNNNNNUCAUAUAUAUAUAUAUGAUACCUAGGGUUUCUCUGUUGUUUGAAGGCCUAUCUUCUCCGGUCGCGAAGAAGGAGGGUAUCUCUGUCCUUAUUUUGAGUAUUGUAUGUUUUGUAUGUGAACUCUGGUUUCGUUAUAUUUUGCUUACCGAGACUGUUUUCUUUUCAAACUGGUUCAUUAAUCAUGGCUUCCAAUACGAAUGCUAGUACCUCCUCAGUGGACUUUACCAGCCCCCUUUUUGUUUAAUCCUCUGAUGUUCCAGGGGUCUCUCUUGUGCCCACUCCCUUCUCGGGCAGUGGUUAUGGGGGUUGGAGGAGGAAAAUGAUUGUCGCGUUAUCUGCUAAAAAC
rnacentral:lncRNA from 1 species